rnacentral:tRNA from 1 species
GGUAAAAUGACUGAGAUUUAGGUGAUAGUUUGUAAAACUAUUAAGAGGAGAUAUAAAAUUCCUUUUUACCA